UACGGAGGAUGCAAGCGUUAUCCGGAUUUAUUGGGUUUAAAGGGUGCGCAGGUUGUUUGAUAAGUCAGUGGUGAAAGUCUGUCGCUUAACGGUAGGAUUGCCAUUGAUACUGUUGGACUUGAAUAUGGAUGAGGUAGGCGGAAUGUGUAGUGUAGCGGUGAAAUGCAUAGAUAUUACACAGAACGCCGAUUGCGAAGGCAGCUUACUAAUCCAUCAUUGACGCUGAGGCACGAAAGCGUGGGGAGUCAAACA
rnacentral:rRNA from 1 species